rnacentral:rRNA from 1 species
UACGAAGGGGGCUAGCGUUGUUCGGAAUCACUGGGCGUAAAGCGCACGUAGGCGGACUCUUAAGUCGGUGGUGAAAUCCUGGAGCUCAACUCCAGAACUGCCUUCGAUACUGAGAGUCUUGAGUCCGGGAGAGGUGAGUGGAACUGCGAGUGUAGAGGUGAAAUUCGUAGAUAUUCGCAAGAACACCAGUGGCGAAGGCGGCUCACUGGCCCGGUACUGACGCUGAGGUGCGAAAGCGUGGGGAGCAAACAGG